GAAGCACCGGGAAAAGAGAGAGAAGAAAACAAAACGGAGGAAAAGGGGAGAAGGGGAUGGGGGACACAAGCAGGUGGAGCAGAAGUCAUCCGCCACCUUGCUUCUGACCUGGGGCUUGGAGGAUGUGGAACACGUGUUCUCUGAGGAGGACUAUCACACACUUACUAAUUACAAAGCCUUCAGUCAGUUCAUGAGGCCCUUAAUUGCUAAGAAGAAUCCUAAGAUCCCGAUGUCGAAGAUGAUGACCAUCCUGGGGGCCAAGUGGAGAGAGUUCAGCGCCAAUAACCCCUUCAAAGGGUCAGCAGCUGCUGUGGCGGCAGCGGCAGCGGCAGCAGCAGCAGCUGUAGCUGAGCAGGUGUCAGCUGCUGUCUCCUCAGCCACCCCCAUAGCACCAUCUGGACCCCCCCCUGCCCUUCCACCACCCCC
rnacentral:lncRNA from 1 species